rnacentral:lncRNA from 1 species
UGCGGUUGAGGACAUUGGUUCGAGCUAGGCUCUUCUAGAACGCAAAGCUGCCGGAGUUCUAAACCACGAACGUUUUGUUGGUUGUUCGAUCGGUAAGGGUUAGUUAUAGGACGUUCCAUAACUAAUUUACACAAGGAAGAGUUGGUGUCCGAGGCGUCCUUGGUAGCUAUAACUAGCUUAUUGGAAAAAAGGAGUUCAUCUAAUUUCGAGGAUCGGUUCAAAGACAAGGAAAA